rnacentral:lncRNA from 13 species
AGGAGUUAAGGCGCUUUCAUUCAUUCAUUCUACUGACUCUGGACCUGGCAUAGCGCUAGGCUCAGCUGGACAAUCACAGGCCUCCUCCACAAAGGAAGAGCCUGCACCUACAGAAAGUAAAACUUGGAAGGAAGAACAGAACAGGAUGUGCCCUGAAAUCAGAUUCCUGAAGAGAAGGGAGAAGCUGAAGGCCAAAACUUAGCAAUCAGGUACUUUAGAAAUGGAAUAGCUUCACCACGAGCCUUUCUGCAGAGGACAGCCUGAGAGUCAAGUGAGAAAGUGACAGCUGGAAGCUAGUCCAUCUCAGGCAACA